rnacentral:piRNA from 1 species
UGGGUUCCUGGUCACUGGACAACCAAGU